AUUUGGUGGGAAAAGUAGCCAAUGCCAAAGAAUUUGUUCCUUUAAUUUUUUCAUGCCAGAACUUUGAAUUGGUAAUCCAGCUAACUACAUGUGUGUAAUGUUCAGUGUCUGAAUUUCUCUUCGGGAUGUGUUUUGUAGGUCUCCAUCACAUUUUUGCCCAGAGAUAGGGGGGAUUAUGCCCAGUUUUGGGAUGCUGAGUGUCACCCACUUAAAGAGCCUCACAUGAAACACACGCUGAGAUUUCAGCUGUCUGGACGAAGUGUCAAAGCAGAAAAUGAAUCUGAAGGUGCAUGCGUGUCCAUGGCCACCCUCGCUAAAAUAGAUAAUUUAGUUAAGCCCCGAAGACAAGCUGUGUCAGCAGCUUCUGCUCUCAUACCUGGCAGGCAGCUUGAUUUGACUCACCGUGGAGUUUAUGCCCCGGAAGAUAUGUACAGGUUUCUCCCAACUAGAGUGGGGGAAUCAAGGACGCUGAAGGUCAAUUUGCGAAACAAUUCUUACAUUACACACGUGGUAAGUUAGAAAUAUUACUGUGGCUUUUGGAAAAGUAAAUGCAUUCAACUAUUUGAUAAUAAGUGUUUUCCUGAUGAAUAUAAACUUCUUUUAUAGAUUAUAUUUAAAUUGUCAUAUGAGUUAAUAUGAAAAAAAUUCCUUAAUACUAUAUUUGAAAAGGAACUCAUUGGAAGCUGAUGACCCUUAAUUUGAAAAUCAAAAAUAUUGUUUUGAUAUUUUAAUUUUUAACUUUCUUUUUUUCUUUCUACUGUACUAUCACACAGACAU